rnacentral:rRNA from 1 species
ACAGCAGCAGCCGCGGGAAUACGAAGGGGGCUAGCGUUGCUCGGAAUGACUGGGCGUAAAGGGCGCGUAGGCGGUUUGUACAGUUGGGUGUGAAAUUCCUGGGCUUAACCUGGGGGCUGCACCCAAUACGUGCAGGCUUGAGUGUGGAAGAGGGUCGUGGAAUUCCCAGUGUAGAGGUGAAGUUCGUAGAUAUUGGGAAGAACACCGGUGGCGAAGGCGGCGACCUGGUCCAUUACUGACGCUGAGGCGCGAAAGCGUGGGGAGCAAACAGGAUUAGAUACCCCUGUAGUCCCUGUCUCUUAUAC